GGGACGACUGUUGCUUGGCUGCAUAGCACUGGAAAGUCUGUCAUGUUUGUCUGGGGAAUGUGCGGCACACAAAAUCGUCACUUUAGACUUCUAAGAGCACAUUGAAAAAUUAUGGGAUUGAACUGCGAACGCAAGCUGAUGUCACAUUCCUACCGACAAGGUUUGCAAAGUCUCAUGUAGCCUGAAUGGUCUUGGAUGCUCUGUGCAGCUGAGGAUGACACUGACCAACAGCUACCUCGACUUUCUGACUGCUGGAGUGACAGGGUCCUCCACACUCCUGUCCCGCCAUCCUAAGCUUUUUUUCUUAUGGCAACCGGCGGUUUGCUGUGAGAUUGCGUCUUCUAGGGAUGUCAGAAGCAACACCUAUAAAAGUCUCACAAUGCUAUUGCCUGAACCUGAGCUGAAAAAAGACAACAGACUUGCCAAAGUGGAUGGGGAAUGCACAGAAAGCCUCAACCGUACACAAAGAGCUACAGGCAACCGGGGAUGCUGAGAACAGGAGAAACAGUCUUACCCAGGGAAGAGCACACCAGUUGGCUUCCAGGUGUUUGUAUGUUUUCAGCCAAUUGUGUGUAAGUAACAGUAUACAGACUGAGUAGGUUAUAUUUAUAGAUUUAGGAUUAUAUAUGUUUGUGUGUAUGUGUAU